CUGCCCGCUAGACAUGUACACCUUACAAUCAUUCCAUACAACAAAUAUAGUAGACCUAUUGAAUAUAGUAUGAGAAAAACAGACCAAAACACAAAAAUUUAACUAUAACCACUGAACCAUGAAAAUGAGGUCAAGGUCAGAUGACACCUGCCAGUUGGACAUGUACACCUUACAGUCCUUCCAUACACCGAAUAUACUAGCCCUAUUGCUUAUAGUAUCUAAGAUAUGG
rnacentral:lncRNA from 1 species